GGAGAGAUCACUAGUGAGAAUGAUGACAUGAGUAGCGACAAAGAGUGUGAGAGACACUCUCGCCGAAAGUCCAAGGGUUCCUGCUUAAAGCUAAUCUGAGCAGGGUAAGCCGACCCCUAAGGCGAGGCCGAAAGGCGUAGUCGAUGGGAACCAGGUUAAUAUUCCUGGGCCAGGAGGAUGUGACGGAUUGUGGCGGCGUGCGUGCCUUAUCGGAUUGGCGCGUAUCCAAGACAGUCCCAGGAAAUAGCCCUCCAUGAGAUCGUACCCUAAACCGACACAGGUGGACUGGUAGAGAAUACCAAGGCGCUUGAGAGAACGAUGUUGAAGGAACUCGGCAAAAUACCUCCGUAAGUUCGCGAGAAGGAGGCCCGGUACACGACUACCGGGGGCACAAACCAGGGGGUGGCGACUGUUUAUUAAAAACACAGGGCUCUGCGAAGUCGCAAGACGACGUAUAGGGUCUGACGCCUGCCCGGUGCCGGAAGGUUAAUUGAUGGGGUUAGCGUAAGCGAAGCUCUUGAUCGAAGCCCCGGUAAACGGCGGCCGUAACGAUAACGGUCCUAAGGUAGCGAAAUUCCUUGUCGGGUAAGUUCCGACCUGCACGAAUGGUGUAACCAUGGCCAUGCUGUCUCCACCCGAGACUCAGUGAAAUCGAAAUCGCAGUGAAGAUGCUGUGUACCCGCACCUAGACGGAAAGACCCCGUGAACCUUUACUACAGCUUGGCACUGAACAUUGACCCUACAUGUGUAGGAUAGGUGGGAGGCUUUGAAGCGUUGUCG
rnacentral:rRNA from 14 species